rnacentral:rRNA from 1 species
GACGAACGCUGGCGGCGUGCUUAACACAUGCAAGUCGAACGGUAAGGCCCUUCGGGGUACACGAGUGGCGAACGGGUGAGUAACACGUGGGUGAUCUGCCCUGCACUUCGGGAUAAGCCUGGGAAACUGGGUCUAAUACCGGAUAGGACUCCUGGCUUCAUGGUUGGGGGUGGAAAGCUUUUGCGGUGUGGGAUGGGCCCGCGGCCUAUCAGCUUGUUGGUGGGGUAAUGGCCUACCAAGGCGACGACGGGUAGCCGGCCUGAGAGGGUGACCGGUCACACUGGGACUGAGAUACGGCCCAGACUCCUACGGGAGGCAGCAGUGGGGAAUAUUGCACAAUGGGCGCAAGCCUGAUGCAGCGACGCCGCGUGAGGGAUGACGGCCUUCGGGUUGUAAACCUCUUUCAGCACCGACGAAGCGCAAGUGACGGUAGGUGCAGAAGAAGGACCGGCCAACUACGUGCCAGCCGCCGCGGUAA